CAAGUCCGACUGGGUGCUACGCACGGACGGCUUCGCCGCCAGCAAGCUGUUGGAACGCCGGCGAGGAUCGCCAGAGUUUGCCCGGAUCACCUACGACGGCCGGCAGCGGUUUUAGUCGCCGCGGUCACCACACAACGCGAACGCACGCACGAGAAAGCUGGACACCGAGAGAGUUUUUUUUACGCCACAACACACGGCGCCUUUUCGAUGCAUUGAUCUGGUCUUUACAUGGGCUUGAAGCCCUCCACCCCGCCACGGUUCCGCAGCUGCACGGUGCGCCGUUCUUCUCGGGCGCCCGCGCGACAUGCACGGCCCGCGGCCAUGACGGGGCCUGACCUUAUGAAGCGGUCAAGAUGCGAACGUGUGCAAUCUCCAUCCCAUCCUGUUUCUACGCUAAUCUAGACAUGUGUUUGUAACAGCAAAUGCCUGAACUAAUGCACCUAAACAUGCAGCAGCUAGUUGACACGAUUACAUACUGAAUGCAAGCUAAUGCAGUUCGACAGUGGACAACAGUUCACCCCCUUAAUCGUGCUCAACCUUGAUGAUGCCCAGCCUCAGUCUCAUCUCCAUGAACCUGAGCCUCCCGAGUGGCUUUGUGAGGAUGUCUGCUAGUUGAUCAUCAGUACUCACAUGAUUCACCUCCACCAUGCCUUCGGAUAUGCAUUCCCUUAUGAAGUGAUACCUUGUGUCGAUGUGUUUGGUCCUUUCAUGAUGGACAGGAUUUUUGCUUAGCUCCUGAGCUGACUUGCUGUCAAUUCUUAGCUCAAACUGUUUGACAGCACCUCCAGUGAUAUCAGCCAGCAGUCUGCUUAGCCAAACCCCCUGACAUGCUCCAGCUGCUGCAGCUAUAUACUCGGACUCACAUGAGGACAGUGACACCACCUUCUGCUUUUGUGAUGUCCAGGUUAUCAGGUUCUGUCCAAGGAAGUAUACUAUGCCAGUGGUACUCUUCCUCUUCUCUAGAUCACCUGCAUGAUCACUGUCAGAGUAUCCAAGCAAUUCUGCAUGAUCCCCUUUGACAUACUUGCACCCAAGAUCAGUAGUGCCUGCAAUGUAUCUGAUAAUCCUUUUCAUGGCAGACCAGUGUUCGGCAUUUGGUGAUUCCAUGAAUCUGCUUACCAUCCCAACAGAGAAUGCUAUGUCAGGCCUGGUAUUGACCAAGUACCUCAAGCUCCCUACCACACUCCGGUAUUUUGUUGCAUUCACCACUGAUUCAGGUUUCCCAGGUAAUAGCUUGACAUGCUGCUCCAUGGGUGUGUCAACAGGAUUGCAGCCCUUCAACCCACACAUUUCCACAAUCUUCUUAGCAUAUGAGCUUUGGCAGAUUGUUAUGACACCUGGUUUUUGCCUCACUUCCAUGCCAAGAUAGUAGCUCAACAGUCCCAGAUCACUCAUAUUGAAGCUCUUCAUCAUUUGUUGCUUGAAAUUCACAAUGUUACCACUGUUUGGCCCACAAAUGACAAGGUCAUCUACAUACACUCCAACUAACAGCAGUGAUGCACCAGUCCCUUUCCUGUAGACAGCAUGUUCUUCAUCACUUCUGCUAAAACCCAGCUUCACUAAUUCUCUGUCAAGCCUGUAAUUCCAGGCCCUUGGAGCCUGCUUAAGGCCAUACAGUGCUUUGUUAAGUUUCAGAUACUUCUUCCCAGCACUUGAGCUAGUGAAACCAGGUGGUUGAUGCACAUAAACUUCUUCCAUGAGUUCACCAUUCAAGAAGGCAGAUUUAACAUCCAUAUGAUGGACCUCCCACUCUCCUUGUGCAGCUAGAGCAAGCAACAGCCUUACAGUCUCUAAUCUUGCCACAGGAGCAAAGACUUCAUCAUAAUCCACCCCCUGAAUCUGAGCAUACCCUUUUGCCACAAGCCUGGCCUUGUGUUUCAACACAUUUCUAGCUGGGUCUCUUUUCACCUUGAAAACCCACUUCAAUCCAAUGGCUUUGUGAUCAACUGGUAGUUCUGAAGCUUCCCAGGUAUUAUUUUGCAUUAUUGAGUCCAGCUCCUCCUGCAUUGCUUUCUUCCAGCAGUCAUGCUCAAGAGCCUCCUCAACACUCACUGGCUCAUCUGCAGCCAGCAUGCACAUCCCACUAUACUCAAAAUCAAGUAUGGGAUCAGUGGAGUCUAACAGAUCAGUCAGGUUCCUGUAUCUGAGUGGCCCUCCCCAAGUUUCAGAGUUUUCUGUUGAUGGUGUUUCAUUACCAGCAGCAGGUGCUGCAAGUGGACUGUUUGCAGGUGUGCCAGUACUACCCUGCCCUGCAGAACCUGUUCCUGGUGUGUUGUGAGGUUGUGGUGACACUUGAUGAUCACCACCCCCUUGAGCCAUACUGCCCUGAUCACCCAAAGCUCCUCCAUUGCCUGAAACAGCCUGCUGCUGUCCUAUUGUCGGAUUCUGUUCAGUAACCUCAUACUCGACAGUGAAGGUAUCUGGUUCAGUGUGAUUUGAGCCAUUGGUUCUGGUCCACUCCCAGGGAACAUUUUCUUCAAAAAUUACAUCUCUACUGACAGUCACCCUGUUUGUUUCAGGAUCAAACAACUUGUAACCUUUUGUUCCAGGUUCAUACCCCAAAAAAAGCAUUUUCUUGGAUCUGUCAGCAAGCUUUGUCAGUCCUGGUCCCAUCAACUUGACAUGUGAUGUGCACCCAAAUGUUUUAAAAUGAGCUACAUUGGGUUUCUUGCCAUGCCACACCUUGAAAGGUGUCUGGUUCUUCAGGCUUCUUGUAGGUGACCUAUUUAGCACAUAGACAGCAGUUGUAACAGCUUCUGCCCAGUAUUCUGCAGGAACACACAUACUUUUCAUCAUGCACCUUGCCAUCUCCACCACUGUUUGGUUUCGACGCUCAACCACACCAUUUUGCUGAGGUGUAUAUGGAGUGGUUGUGUAGUGCUUGAUCCCUGUUUCAGUGCAAAAUACAGAGAACAGAUUGGAAAUAAACUCUCCUCCCCUAUCUGUUCUCAGAGCUUUCAGCCUGCUGCCUUGAUCUACUUCUGCCCUGAGCUUAAUUUUCUUGAAGUAAUCAAGUGCUUGAUCUUUGGUCUUGAGAAAUUCAACCCACAUGUACCUACUACAAUCAUCAACAACCAAGAGAAAAUAGGAAUUCCCUCCUGGUGUCUUAGGACUUAUCUGUCCACACAACUCAGCAUGAACCAAUUCUAGUCCUUGUUCAGCUCUGAAAUUUGAGGCUUCUGGAAAUGGUUUCCUAUGCUGCUUCCCCAAAGUGCACCCAUCACAAACCUGUUCCACAUGAUCAACUACAGGCAUCCCAUCGACCAUCCCUUUUCUGCCUAAGUCUCUUAGUGCUCUAAAAUUAAGAUGACCAAAUCUGGCAUGCCACUGCCAUGCCUCAUCAUUGUGUUUCAUCAGAAGACAAACAGGAUCAGUGAGACCUAACUGAAUUGUGUACAGCCUUUUCUUAGUUCUGGGUGCUGAGAUUAGUAGUGUGCCUUCAGGAUCAAUAACUUUCAGUCUACCAUGUUUCAGAGAGACUUCACACCCUUUCUCCUCUAGCUGACCCAGACUAAUGAUGUUACUUUUGAGCUUAGGAAUGUAGUACACAUCAGUCAAUACCUUGUGUUGUUGGUGCUGGCCUUGCAUCACCAUGGAUCCGAUCCCGUGGAUCUCGACGUGUGAGCCAUCGCCAAAGCGAACUGUUCCUCGCACCUUGUCAUUCAGAGACUGCAGUGCUGAUCGUGUUCCGGUCAUGUGGUUGCUGGCACCGGUGUCCAGCACCCACACACCGUCAGUGCAGUCAACAGGCACCACAUCCUUCUCCACCAGGUGAACUACUUGCGUCGCCACCUCCUGCUCCUCCUGGCCUGACGUCGCCAUCAGCAGAACAGCGCCAUGUACACCAUGAUCGUGCACCGCCAUGUUCGCUUCAGGUUCCUUGGCAUCUUUCUUCUUGUCUUUCUUUGAGCGUUUGCAAUCCUCUGCCCAAUGUCCGUAGAUGCCACAAUUGCGGCAUCUCCCCUUGCGCCGUGGCGUCCCCAUCGUCGUGAGUUUGACGGAUCCGGAUCCGCCGCCCUCAGGGCGCGCCGCCGGCUGCUUGUUCUUGGCUUGGGCACUGCCACCAGUCCCACCGCCUUCCUUGGCCGGUGUAGUGUGGAACCGGUGUUUGUGCUUCUCCAACCAGUCCUCCUCGGCAAGGAGAAGACGACCCAUCUUGUCAGUGACCUGCUCCACCGGCUUGUCGCUGAGACGAUCGUCGGCUGCCCGCAACCGCCCAACCCGCUCCUCCACCUUCAUAGUCUUGGUGUCGCAGAACAUCUCGAUCGUUACCACUAUUGGCGUGAAGCGAGGAGGAAGAACACGCAAGAAUUUUUUGAUCACGCGACUGUCCUCCACCGUCUCACCCAUGGUUCGGAGAUUGGCAACGAGAUUGGUAAUCCGCAUACCGAAUUGGUCGACGCUCUCGCCGUCCUUGAAGGUGAUGUUCUCAAAAUUUUGGAGCAAUCGCUGGGCGUUCACCUCCUUGACGCGUUCUGCACCGAGACGCAUCAGCUUCAGUGCUUCCCAUGCCUCCUUCACCGUCUUGUGGUUACCGAGCAUUUGCCACAUGUCCUUCGGCACCGAGCGCAGGAGGGCGCUCAUGGCUUGGCGAUCUUGCGAUCUCUUCACGUUGGUGCCUGGAUCGAUCACUUGCCAGAUCUCCAACGCCUCCAGAUUGCACUGGACGAGCAUCGCCCACUCCGUGUAAUUCCCCUAAUCCAACAUCGGCCAGACCAAGGAACUCUCCCGCACACUGGAACUCGCCGACGCGCCAGAGUAACUCAUCUCCGCCUCCGCCGUCGACCUUCGAGGGAUGACGCGCUUCUUCUUCGCAGGCUCCCGCGGCGGGCUCACCGAACCACCGUAUUGCAUCCACCGGCUCUGAUACCAGCUGUUGAAACGCCGGCGAGGAUCGCCAGAGUUUGUCCGGAUCACCUACGACGGCCGGCAGCGGUUUUAGUCGCCGCGGUCACCACACAACGCGAACGCACGCACGAGAAAGCUGGACACCGAGAGAGUUUUUUUUACGCCACAACACACGGCGCCUUUUCGAUGCAUUGAUCUGGUCUUUACAUGGGCUUGAAGCCCUCCACCCCGCCACGGUUCCGCAGCUGCACGGUGCGCCGUUCUUCUCGGGUGCCCGCGCGACAUGCACGGCCCGCGGCCAUGACGGGGCCUGACCUUAUGAAGCGGUCAAGAUGCGAACGUGUGCAAUCUCCAUCCCA
rnacentral:lncRNA from 1 species